rnacentral:rRNA from 1 species
CCUACGGGUGGCUGCAGUGGGGAAUAAUGGACAAUGGGCGAAAGCCUGAUCCAGCCAUGCCGCGUGUGUGAAGAAGGCCUUCGGGUUGUAAAGCACUUUCAGUGGGGAAGAAAGCCUUGGGGCUAAUACCCUCGAGGAAGGACAUCACCCACAGAAGAAGCACCGGCUAACUCCGUGCCAGCAGCCGCGGUAAUACGGAGGGUGCGAGCGUUAAUCGGAAUUACUGGGCGUAAAGCGCGCGUAGGCGGUCUGAUAAGCCGGUUGUGAAAGCCCCGGGCUCAACCUGGGAACGGCAUCCGGAACUGUCAGGCUAGAGUGCAGGAGAGGAAGGUAGAAUUCCCGGUGUAGCGGUGAAAUGCGUAGAGAUCGGGAGGAAUACCAGUGGCGAAGGCGGCCUUCUGGACUGACACUGACGCUGAGGUGCGAAAGCGUGGGUAGCAAACAGGAUUAGAUACCCGGGUAGUC